UGCCCUGCAAAUUGCACUUCUCCCGCAGCCCCUGUUAUGAAUGGAUUUCUCGCGCUUGUAGAUGUGAAACCUCUGAUUUGUUCAAUUGGUGUGGUCUAAAAUUGACCUCCAUUUGAUCUGAGUUUACAAGUAUUUGGUUCCGAGUUUAGAUAAAUUCUAUGAUAUUCAAAUUUUACAAAUGAAACCGUGAAAAAUAGAUUUCUGGCACAUCAUGAAAUGGGAACCUGCAAGCAAUUGCAAGGAUGCCGAGUGAUAUUACUGACAUCAACUUCGCACAAAGGCUACCAGCAAGAUUAGAAUGCAUAUAUUUGUCUUUUCUUCACAUAUCCAAAAAAAAAUUACGGAACAAGAUGGGUAAUGUUUAUAAGAAAAACGUCCAAGGAUGUUAAAGCUUUUCAGACAGCAGGGUAAGUGCAAAUUUAUGCCGUUGUUUCACUUACAGCAUCAAGGGGUUACUACAGCACAGCAUAUUUGCGUCAGUGAACAUAACAUUAAAGAUUACAUUCAAUUCUUGCAGACUUGCAUUAAGGAGAAAGACAUAGCAGGGGGCAAAUUAAUGCACGCUCGCAUAAAUGUGAUAGGAUUUACCUCAAAUACAGUUUUACAUAAUGUGGUGGGCAACAUGUAUGUGAAAUGUGGGAAUGUGGAGGACGCUCGUAAAGUCUUCGAUCGAACUUCUGAGCGAGACGAAUGCUCGUGGAGUGUCAUGAUUUCAGGUUAUGCAGCGCAGGGCUUUCCUCACAGAGCAUUGGCACUGUUCCAGCAAAUGCAAACAAGCAGCCUUCAGCCCAGUCACUUUACGUUUUCCGCCAUUAUUUCUGCAUGUACAUCUCUUGAACAAGGUAUGGAGAUCCAUGGACAUUUGAUUAAAAGUGGGUUUGACUGCCAUGUUUCUGUAUGCAAUGCCCUUGUCGAUUUGUAUGGAAAAUGUGGAUAUAUCGUGGAUGCCCGCCAAGUGUUUGAUAAAAUGUCUUUGCGAGAUGCUGUGUCUUGGACUAUUAUUAUUUCUUCUUAUGCAAGGAGAGAACCUUGCGAGGAAGCUUUGAGUCUGUUUCGGCAAAUGAAGCAGUCAGGCUUCCAGCCAUGUCAGUUUGUAUAUUCAGGGGUGAUUUCGGCAUGUGCACGUCUGGGAUUGCUAGAAGAGGGUGUGGAAAUCCAUGAGGAGAUCAUUAGGAAGGGAAAUGAGUUUCAUAUCUCUGUGGCCAAUGCUCUUGUAGAUAUGUAUGUGAAAUGUGGAAUGAUACGAAAGGCGCGAGACUUGUUUGACAAAAUACCCCAACGAGAUGUUGUCUCAUGGACUGUGAUGUUUUUGGCUUAUACAAAGCAAGGGUUUGCUGAAGAGGCGUUGGCACUGUUUUGGAAAAUGAGAGAAACAGGCUGCAGGCCUAAUGAGCUCACCUUUGCUAGUGUUCUUCCGGCAGUUGCCAACAUGGGAUCUCUCAAGCUCGGUACGCAAUUCCACGAAGAGAUAUUGAGAUGUGGAUUCCAGACUUAUGUCUCUGUUGCAAAUGCAUUGAUUGAUAUGUAUGCAAAAUGUGGUAGCAUAGAGAAGGCGCAGGAUGUGUUUGCUCAAAUGCAUCAAACCGAUGUGGUUUCAUGGAAUACAAUGAUUACAGGACUUGCACAUAACGGAUUUCUUGAGGAGGCUCUAAAACUGUUUAACAAAAUGCCUCGACGUGAUGUGAUAUCUUGGAAUGCAAUUAUUGCAGGGUAUAUGCAGAAUGGAUUUGUUGAAGAAGCUGUGAAACUGUUUAACGAAAUGCCCGAAAGAAGCAUAGUUUCGUGGACAACGAUGAUUUCAGGAUAUGCACAUAAUAGAUUUCUCGAUGAGGCCCUGAAGCUCUUCGAGGAAAUGACUAUACGAGACACUGUCUCAUGGAACGCAAUGAUUGCAGGAUUAGGGCAUAAUGGUUAUGACGAUGAGGCCUUGAAGCUUUUUCAACAAAUGCACUUAGCUGGUGUAAGGCCAAACUCGGAAACCUUUUCUACUGUGCUACCUGCCUGUGCAAAAUUGGCAGCUCUAGGACAUGGGGUGGAAAUCCAUGAAAAAGUAAUAAGAAGUGGGUUUCACACAGAUGUUCUUGUGCGUAAUGCCUUGAUAAAUAUGUAUGCAAAAUGUGGUGAUAUUCAGAAGGCAAAUGAAAUAUUUGAAAGAAUGCAUCAAAGAGAUUCAGUCUCCUGGACAUCUAUGAUUACAGGGUUCGCGAUGCAUGGUUAUGGCAAGAAAUCCCUUGACCUCUUUGAGCAAAUGAAAUUUUCUGGUAUGACACCAGAUCAUAUCACCUUUCUUAGUAUUUUGUCUGCAUGCAGUCAUGCAGGUUUGGUGGAUGAGGGCUAUAAGUACUUCGAUUGCAUGAGAACGUAUUAUAAUAUCAACCCUACUAUGGAACACUAUAGAUGCAUGGUUGACCUUCUUGGGCGUGCUGGCCAUCUGGAUGAAGCAAUCGAUUUCAUCUACAAAAUGCCAGUAAAACCCAAUGGCGCCAUCUGGAGUUGUUUGAUGGGUGCUUGUAGGAUACACAGUAAUGUGGAUUUAGGAGAAUAUGUGGCAGGACGAAUUUUUGAAUUGGAGCCUCAAAAUGCAGCACCUUAUGUGCUUCUUAUGAAUAUCUAUGCUGCAGCUGGCAGGUUGAGUGAGAUUGAAACUAUAAGGCAAAUGAUGAACGACAGGGGUGUAAAAAAGACACCCGGAUACAGUUGGAUUGAGAUCAAUGAACAUGUAAAUGCUUUUUCUGUAGGAGAAAGGUUGCAGACAGAAAAUUGAAAAAAAGGUGGCGACAUUAUCUUGGAAAAUCAAUGUAGUAUAUCUAUUGCUGUUCGAGUUCUGUGAUGAAUAACAGAAUAAGUUAAUGAACAUGGGAACGAAUUCUUUUGACACCAACUAGAUUGAAAAGCUAGUGUUACCAUUCAGGUACUUAUAUGAUAUUAAACAAUCGCCUCGAAUAGCUAAUGAGACAUCCCAUGACUUCUGAGGUCUAAAAGAAAUCCCCUUGGGCCAUCAGUAAACUGUAUGUGAACAGUGAAAUUGACACACUGAACCAACUCUUUCUCCAUGAUUUUUCAAUGGAAAACUGCUCUCAGGGUGCAAAUUUUAGUUUUAUGGAGAAAAUUCCACUCACAAGAUAAAAAAUAGAAAUCUUGAGUAUCAUCAGAAAAUAAGAUAAGAAUGUGUCCUACUCUACAGCAGCAGCCAGCUUCCCCCAACAUCUGAGAACAUCUGGAGGGAUCAACAAUUGACAGUCUUGGAAGAGAUAUACAUGUACACAAUCCAUUUUAUUGUGGAGCACAACAAAAGAUUAAAAGGCAGAAGUUGAACUACAAUUCUGAAAACUCCGGCAAAACCAUCUCAAGAUCUAGUAAUUGCAGAAGUCAAAUUUGGAAUUAUUCUCAAACGCUGUUAAGUUUGAAAUUAUUCUCAACACUGUAAAAUUGAAUGACCCGAAAGAUCUUUGAUUUGUCUAUACUACAGCAAUUUACGUUUGAUACAACAAAGGGUUAGCUCUGCAGGAGCAGAAAUGAUUUGAGUAUGAGAUGUAAAUCCUAUUAAUCUCAAUCAAAUUGAAGACUACCUACAAAGUCUCCAGAUCACGGAAGCUGGAUGAAGCUUGAAGUUUCAAUAUCUCUCAACUGUUCUUUACACUGCUGUAGAGCAUUUAAACUCUCUUCAGAAGAGCCAGCGGGUGUCUUGGAUGCCACUUACAAUAAAAUUUAUCACCAAGCUUGCUGCUGAUCCUCGUAGAGCAUGCAAACAAUGAGAUUGUAUCAAGAGAUGAAGGUAGGACUUAUCUGCCAAUAUGCUGCAUGCUGAAUGAUGCGGAGGAGGAACAAAUUACCCGCUACCACAGCAAGGCAAUUUGAAUGCCAUUUAUGCUGUUACACAAUUACCCUGCGUUAACAAGUAUUAUUAAUCUUGGAAUAUGCAGCAACUGCCACUUGAAGCCAAAUUUCUAUCCAAGAUUGUUGCACGAGAUAAUGAACCAGAGAUCAGUUUUGUUUCCUAUUAACGCUCAUUCAUGGAACGUUUCCCUGUCCUUGGAUUUGUUCUAUUUUGAGAAAAACCUCCCAGGUCUGAAAUAAUUUAGGCGAUCCAAACUCUCAGAUAAAUAAAAUGAAGGCAUU